rnacentral:rRNA from 1 species
GAUGAACGCUGGCGGCGGGCCUAACACAUGCAAGUCGAGCGAAGCGGGGACGGGUGAGUAACACGUGGAUAACCGCCUAUAAGACUGGGAUAAUUCCGGGAAACCGGAGUUAACCGGGAUACUUCUAGUUGGGUCCGCGCUGCAUUAGCUGGUUGGUAAGGUAACGGCUUACCAAGGCUACGAUGCCUAGCCGACCUGAGAGGGUGAUCGGCCAAACUGGAACUGAGACACGGUCCAGACUCCUACGGGAGGCAGCAGUAGGGAAUCUUCCGCAAUGGGCGCAAGCCUGACGGAGCAACGCCGCGUGAGUGAUGAAGGUCUUAGGGUCGUAAAGCUCUGUUAGUAGGGAAGCGUUACCUACACAGAAAGCCCCGGCUAACUCCGUGCCAGCAGCCGCGGUAAUUC